GUUUAAAUAGUUUAAUAAAAAAUUUAGAUCUGUGGCAUCUGAGAUACCUUAAUUUGUUUUAAACC
rnacentral:tRNA from 1 species